CAGCAGCCGCGGGAAUGCGGAGGGUGCAAGCGUUAAUCGGAAUUACUGGGCGUAAAGCGUGCGUAGGCGGUUCGUUAAGUCUGUUGUGAAAGCCCCGGGCUCAACCUGGGAAUGGCAAUGGAUACUGGCGAGCUAGAGUGUGUCAGAGGAUGGUGGAAUUCCCGGUGUAGCGGUGAAAUGCGUAGAGAUCGGGAGGAACAUCAGUGGCGAAGGCGGCCAUCUGGGACAACACUGACGCUGAGGCACGAAAGCGUGGGGAGCAAACAGGAUUAGAUACCCCGGUAGUCCCUGUCUCUUAUAA
rnacentral:rRNA from 1 species